GUGAAUACAAGAUCUGGGUAAAAGUUGUAUAGAGCUUGUACAGGACCUUGGAAACGUACAGGCCAACCCGAGUGACUCGUACACUAAACAAGAUAUUACCCAGCAUGCACGCAUUGUUACUGAAAAAGUUUCUUUUAUCGUUGCAAAUCUACAGUCGGGCUCACAAGGUACCCAGGCUUGUAUAAAUUCUGCUCCCACCACCAGUGGUAUCAUAGCUGAUGUCGACACCACAACAAUGUUUGCCAUAGCAGGAACUUUGAAUGCCAAUAGUGAAGAAAACAUUGCUGAUCACAGGAAUUGGUCAUGUAGAGGAUGUUGGAUUUGAGAAAUUGUGAGAUACAGUUCCCUGUGGCAACUUCAGACAUACAGAACUAUCAGGUUCUGGACAGAUGCUGCAUACCACACAAAUAUCUACAACAAAUAUACAACCAGGAACUUCACUGGAUAUCUAUGUCACACCUAAAAAGGAUAUAUUUCCAGAGGUACAAAGGGUCAUCGGUAUUUGCAUGAAAGAUUCAGCCACCAUGACAGUAACAAGCUUAGGAGCAUACAGUCUGAGACAUAAACAUUGUUUACUUGGUUGGAAUUGGUGUCCCAUAAUGGAAGGCACUUUGAUUUUCCAGUUGUUGUCCGAGCACAAAAUUUUAUGUAUACAAAAACGACUAGCAAUUUUUUCAGUUGUGUUUCUUCUUUUGUGGAUUCUUUUACCAUAUAUUUUUUUUUAUAUUGUAGUAUGUUUGUGUUAAAUUGUGAGAAGUAAAACAUUACUUCUCUCAAAGAUUAAACUGUACAGCUGACUCAUAAGUUCUGCACUUCAUGUUGAUGAGGUGAUCGUUUGACACAAGUUUCAUAUGAAUCCUUCAAGGGGUUUAGGAGAUACAGAGUAGACACAAAAUGGAAGGCUCAAACCUUUGACCCUAAGUUGUGACCUUGACCUUAAACCGGCAUGGCUGACUCAUAAGUGCUGCAUAUCGCUUGCUGAGGUGAUCAUUUGACCCAAGUUUGAUGAAAAUCCUUCAAGGGGUGUAGGAGAUAUAGAGCGGACACAAAAUGGAAGGCUCAAACCUUUCACCCUUAGUUGUGACCUAGACCUUGAGCGGGCAUGGCUGACUUAUGGGUUCUGCACAUCGUCUUGAUGAGUUGAUCAUUUGACCCAAGUUUUAUAAAAUUCCUUCAAGGGAUUUAGGAGAUAUAGAGCGGACACAAAAUGGAAGGCUCAAACCUUUGACCUCGAUUUGUGACCUUGACCUUGAGCUGACAAGGCUGACUCGUAGGUUCUGCACAUCGUCUUGAUAAGGGGAUCAUUUGACCAAAGUUUCAUGAAAAUCCUUCAGGGGGUUUAAGAGAUACAGAUACAGAAAGUGUUACGGACAGACGGAAGGACGGACUGAGACCAUUCGUAUAACCCCCCACCAUUUGUGGCGGGGGAUUAAAAAAAUCUUAGUACAUAAUAUCAGUUGUAAGUUACUCAACAUGACAUUUCGUAGUGUGCCAGCAUUUCAUCCAUUUAUAUAUCCUUCCCUGUGUGUACUAGGCUGAGCUCUUGUUGUGUCAUGCAUUUUCGCGACUUAAUCUAUCAUUUGUUAUGCUGCACAUUUCUUAAAAAAAAAUUUCUUAGUUCCUAGCAUUAAAUCCAUGUUUGUUAAUUUAUUCAGAUACUAUUACAAUCCACAUGUUUAUUGUAUUUAAUCUGACCUUGUUAAGGCAGUUGUUGUCGGUCGUGUUAUUUUUUUUUUAAAUGCAAACAGUUGCGUAGCAACAGUUAAUCUCCAGAUAUACCGCUUUAAAGACGAGAACAUACUAGAUAUCCGGCUUUCUUAUGAAACUGAGAAACUUCCUAUUGCCGCAGCAAACAUCAGGACCCAUUUUAAAUGUCUGUCACUUACAUUUUCUUGCAGAAUAUUGUCAGUGCUGAAUAAAACUCCGUUUAGAGCAGACUUGUUUUUAUUUUUUACGGGCUUGGGAAGCAGGCAAUUUUAUAAAUUUUACAGUGUCUAUAUAAACAUAUAGUAAAACAACUUUGGUCUAAGGCCUACUAUUUAUACCCCAGUUUCAGCUGAUCUGGGGAUCUAACGCUUUUUUGUCUUUCAGUUACUAGUAAGUUGUAUUUUUUAAACUUUGUCAUUUAAGGUGCAUUUCAUAAUUGUGUGCUUUGACGAUUUUAGCUUUCAGUUUCUUUUCUGUCAGUAAUGUUGCUUUUAAUACUAGUAAGCAUUUUCAUGUGCCUUAUUCAAUGUGUAUCUACAUUGUAUAAUUGUUAUCUAUUAGAGUUAACUACAUUUCCAUUGAAAAUAAAACAUUGUAAAUUUUGAA